UAGAACAACUACUUUAUUAACUUUGCUUAUCAAAGAAAAAUAAAAUGUUUCAUAUUGCUUAACAGAUGGUUGCCCAAAUAAGAGAACACUGGUGUGUGAAAAUGAAGGUUAUUUGUCACCUUACCAAGAAGAUUUGAAACCAUGUCAUUGUGUAUGUCCUCCCAAUACCAAAGGAUCCAGAUGUGAGACUUUAGUCGGUGACUAUUACGGAUCUAUUUCUUGUGGUGGGGAUAUUUCUCAAGAAAAGGUAAUAGAAACGCCUGGUUAUCCUCAAAGAACUCCGAACGACAGUUGCGCUUGGCAGAUUAAGGCACCUCGGGGCAAAAAAGUUGAAGUUAUUUUUGAAGAUUUUAGCUUUCGUUCAAGAAUGGAAAAACCAGGCAAUAAAUACAAUGGUUAUUGUGUUUUUGAACAUGUGGAAAUUCGAACAUCAAACAUGGAAGAAGG